rnacentral:rRNA from 1 species
GAUGAACGCUGGCGGCGUGCCUAAUACAUGCAAGUCGAGCGAACAGACGAGGAGCUUGCUCCUCUGACGUUAGCGGCGGACGGGUGAGUAACACGUGGAUAACCUACCUAUAAGACUGGGAUAACUUCGGGAAACCGGAGCUAAUACCGGAUAAUAUAUUGAACCGCAUGGUUCAAUAGUGAAAGACGGUUUUGCUGUCACUUAUAGAUGGAUCCGCGCCGCAUUAGCUAGUUGGUAAGGUAACGGCUUACCAAGGCAACGAUGCGUAGCCGACCUGAGAGGGUGAUCGGCCACACUGGAACUGAGACACGGUCCAGACUCCUACGGGAGGCAGCAGUAGGGAAUCUUCCGCAAUGGGCGAAAGCUUGACGGAGCAACGCCGCGUGAGUGAUGAAGGUCUUCGGGUCGUAAAGCUCUGUUAUUAGGGAAGAACAAAUGUGUAAGUAACUAUGCACGUCUUGACGGUACCUAAUCAGAAAGCCACGGCUAACUACGUG